rnacentral:rRNA from 1 species
AUUGAACGCUGGCGGAAUGCUUUACACAUGCAAGUCGAGCGGCAGCACGGGGGCAACCCUGGUGGCGAGCGGCGAACGGGUGAGUAAUACAUCGGAACAUGCCCAGUCGUGGGGGAUAACACUUCGAAAGAAGUGCUAAUACCGCAUACGUCCUGAGGGGGAAAGCGGGGGAUCGCAAGACCUCGCGCGAUUGGAGUGGCCGAUGUCAGAUUAGCUAGUUGGUGGGGUAAAGGCCUACCAAGGCAACGAUCUGUAGCUGGUCUGAGAGGAGGAUCAGCCACACGGGGACUGAGACAGGGCCCAGACUCCUACGGGAGGCAGCAGUGGGGAAUUUUGGACAAUGGGGGCAACCCUGAUCCAGCCAUUCCGCGUGAGUGAAGAAGGCCUUCGGGUUGUAAAGCUCUUUCGGCAGGAACGAAACGGUGAGCUCUAACAUAGCUUGCUAAUGACGGUACCUGAAGAAGAAGCACCGGCUAACUACGUG